GCCGCGGAGGGGGGAGCUCCCCGAUCCCCCCUCCCCUCUCGCGCGUUGGUGGGAGGCGCCGGCCGAGGCUAUAAAAGGGCGGGCGGGCGCGCGCGGCGCGCAGUGCGGGCGCCACGUGGAGCGGACGCGGAACGGGCGGCGCCGCCAUGGCCUCCAACGAUUACAGCCAGACGGCCACCCAAAGUUACGGCGCCUACCCCGCCCCCCCCGGGCAGAGCUACUCGCAGGGGGGGGGGCAGAGCUACGGCCAACAGAGCUACGGGGGGUACGGACAGAGCUCGGACACGGGGUACGGACAGGGGGGGUACAGCUCCUCCUACCAACAGAGCCAGAGCGGUGAGUAAAGAUAAAAAUGGAAAAAA